rnacentral:rRNA from 1 species
CCAUUCCGAACACGGAAGUUAAGCCCACCAGCGCCGAUGGUACUUGGGUGGAGACACCCUGGGAGAGUAGGUCGCCGCCGGAU